rnacentral:rRNA from 1 species
GAUGAGAGUUUGAUCCUGGCUCAGGAUGAACGCUAGCGGGAGGCUUAACACAUGCAAGUCGAACGGUAACAGGUCCUUCGGGAUGCUGACGAGUGGCGCACGGGUGCGUAACGCGUAUGCAACUUUCCUUAUACAGGAGGAUAGCCCAGGGAAACUUGGAUUAAUACUCCAUAAUGUCAUUGAAUCGCAUGGUUUAAUGAUUAAAACUUCGGUGGUAUAAGAUGGGCAUGCGUAGGAUUAGCUUGUAGGUAGUGUAACGGACUACCUAGGCUACGAUCCUUAGGGGUUCUGAGAGGAUUAUCCCCCACACUGGUACUGAGACACGGACCAGACUCCUACGGGAGGCAGCAGUGAGGAAUAUUGGUCAAUGGGCGAGAGCCUGAACCAGCCAUCCCGCGUGCAGGAUGACGGCCCUAUGGGUUGUAAACUGCUUUUCUACGCCAAGAAAGGUCCGUACGUGUACGGGAUUGACGGUAGCGUAGGAAUAAGCAUCGGCUAACUCCGUGCCAGCAGCCGCGGUAAUACGGAGGAUGCGAGCGUUAUCCGGAUUCAUUGGGUUUAAAGGGUGCGCAGGCGGGCUUGUAAGUCAGUGGUGAAAUACUGCCGCUUAACGGUAGAAUUGCCAUUGAUACUGCAAGUCUUGAGUAUGGUUGAGGUAGGCGGAAUGUGCAGUGUAGCGGUGAAAUGCAUAGAGAUUGCACAGAACACCGAUUGCGGAGGCAGCUUACUAAGCCAUAACUGACGCUGAGGCACGAAAGCGUGGGGAGCGAACAGGAUUAGAUACCCUGGUAGUCCACGCUGUAAACGAUGUUCACUCGCUGUUUGCGAUACACAGUA